UACGUAGGGUGCGAGCGUUAAUCGGAAUUACUGGGCGUAAAGGGUGCGCAGGCGGAUAGAUAAGUUAGGAGUGAAAUCCCAGAGCUCAACUUUGGAACUGCUUUUAAAACUGUCUAUCUAGAGUACAUUAGAGGGAGAGGGAAUUCCAAGUGUAGCAGUGAAAUGCGUAGAUAUUUGGAGGAACACCGAUGGCGAAGGCAUUCUCCUGGGGUGUAACUGACGCUCAGGCACGAAAGCGUGGGUAGCAAACAGG
rnacentral:rRNA from 1 species